rnacentral:rRNA from 1 species
UACGUAGGGGGCAAGCGUUGUCCGGAUUUAUUGGGCGUAAAGAGCGUGUAGGCGGCUAGGUAGGUCCGUUGUGAAAACUCGAGGCUCAACCUCGAGACGCCGAUGGAAACCAUCUAGCUAGAGUCCGGAAGAGGAGAGUGGAACUGCGAGUGUAGAGGUGAAAUUCGUAGAUAUUCGCAAGAACACCAGUGGCGAAGGCGGCUCACCGGCCCGAUACUGACGCUGAGGCACGAAAGCGUGGGGAGCAAACAGG